UCAGUCAGCUGAUUUCAAUUCUUGCUCCUUCUGCCCGGCCCCCUUACACGCAUUUCUCCGCCAUCCCUGUGGCAUUCGCCCCUUUUUCCUGAAAGUCUGCGAAGCGCCCUCCCGCCCUCAGGAAGUUACGCAUGCGUAGAGUGCCUAAGAAGGCCGUGGGGCGCAGUCUACACAGCGUGCGCGGGGUCCGCUCUCCGGCGCGAGCUGGAAAGGCCACGGCCCCCGGCACGUGCCUUUGAUUUCCCGGUGCAGGAGCAAGCCACCAGAUAAGAAUGUGAUUACCUUGAGACCACCAUGCUAUGAGAAGCCCAAGCCAUAUGAAGAGACCCUGGAGAUUAAAACACCUUGUGGAGAGAAAGGGAAACCAAGAAUCACUAAGGCACCAGAAACCUGAGUGAAGAAGCCAACUUGGAAAUGGAUCUUUCAGCCCCAGCCACCCUGGCUGAUGCCACAUGGAUCAGAGACAGGGAGAAUGCGUGUUUUCCACCACUGGAAAAUCUGCUUUAUGGUCUGCUCUCACGGGGAUAGCCAGCUCCUGCUUGAAAUCAGUUACCGAAGGACAUUGCAUCCGUUCACCAGCAGCCCAUUAAAUUUUGAAGGCAUUGCCACGUCACCUUCAUUGAGGUGAGGAAGGUGAGGCUCAGAGACAUUAAGUGACUUGCCCAAGAUCACACAGCCAGGCCCAGUGGAAUUUCUCAGUUUUCCCAGUACACUGACCUGAUCUUCAGAAACAGGCACUGUGUGCACCGGGAUUGGCUGCCAGGGUAGUCUCGGAUUCCAGAUGCUGGUACCCUCUGGGGGAAACAGGGCUGCAAGGAACUGAGAAAUAAAUCCAUUGGUAAAGAGAAUUAAAAUGUAAAAUAAUGUGGGCAGAAGAAAUUAGUCAUAUGAAUGGAUGGCACGUCAGCAGUAAGAAGGAAAGCCGACUGACUGGGAAAGGAAUCAGGAUGGAACGCACCAUGCACUUACCAUGAGGAAGACAUAAAUAAGUGGAAAAUACAAAGAUUUACAGGCCUUGGAAAGUCCAUGCCUAUGUGAGAAGCCUUUGUUCAAACAGGAACAAUGAAGAUGAAGGCAGAUAAAAGUGCAGUGAGUAGGCUACUCAGUGUUCUUGCCAAAUGUUAUGAUGCAAAGGACCAGUAAACCAAUGGAUCCAUAAGUUAAAUUGAAAUGUCAAGAGCCAGCAUCAUGGGAAUCUGCAAAAUACAGGAAUCCAAUGUUAGAAACGUGAUUCUUGAUUAUCCACAAAAAGUUCCAACUGGGGAGGAUAAAUGAGAUGGUGCUCAGCUCUGCUUUAUUUCCACCAUUGCUGCUAUUGAUGGCCUUCUGUGGCUUCUGCUUUCUGUCCUCUCUUCAGCAGAGGAUCUCAGCUGUCUGCCAGAAACAAACAGGUUGUCAUCUUGAAACUAUAAAGCAUGGACCCUCCAGGAGCCUCCCCUCCUUCCAUUCUGCCUGUGUCUCAUGAAUUCUUCUCCAUAUUGGCCUUCAGAUAGAGGACUGUUGGCCUUGUUCUGCAACUGAUUAAUAUGUUGGUUGGGUCCUCUGAGAAGCAGAUGCAAACCUAGAGUCAGAAAUGCAAACUAUUUAUUGGGUUAAUGCCUGUGAAAUUCUGACAUCUAGGAAAGGUGAGGUGGAAGGAAGGAGGCUUGGUUAGGAAGAGAUUUAGUCUUUGGUACAACCCUGAGAAAUUCUCAGCUUACAAAAUGGGGACCUCCAGUUUUACAGAGGAAUCUUGAGUCACGUAGAAAUGUCGAGGCUCUAGUACCUUUCUGGUGCUCAGUCAUUGGUUGGGGACCGCCUGAGAAGAAUGUGGCCUCAGCUCAAAUAUUACAGUGAAUCCCAAAAGCACUGCAGCUGGAGGCUGUCAGCUAACUGUGCUCCUUGGAUGUUACCAGCAGCUUUGUUCUUGAACAUAACACUCCUGUGCGCUACCACUGUUACUUCUCCAGACAGUGAAGGGCAUUUCCCAUCCACUCUGCUUGAGGGGAAGAGCAGUAGAGCCUCAGUCCUGUUACCCGGUCACCCAUUCUGGCUCCAGAAGUACCUUGGUGCCCUCUCUGAAGCCUCUUAUCCACUUUAAUAUUCAGUAUUCAGCAUGUGACAGAAAUCUAAUUUGCUUAACAUUAGGCAAGGGAGAGAGGUUUUUGUUGCCUCAUGUAACUGAACAGAGGGAAUGACAAAGAUUAAUGGGAACUUAGGACAAAAAUGUCACUGGGGUUCACUUGUCUCUCCUCCUUUCUCUCUUGUGGCUUUCUUACUCCCUCCUCACUUAAACUAGAACUAACUCUUCAUGGCGUCACCCAAGAAGAAAGGAACUGUUUUCCCCAACUCUGCUUCAAAAAUCCCAGGAAAGAAUCUGAUUGAUCUGAUUUUGUUUACAUACUUUUCAUUCAUUCAUCAAACUUCAUCUGAGUGCACUAAUAGGAUAGGCACUGUUCUAGGUUCUUAGAAAGUUUGAGUGAAGAGAUUUAAGUUCCUUCUUUUAUGAACUUACAUUCUAGCAGAGAAAGACAGAUAAUAAAGCGUUUGCUGAAAAUCAUUAAAUUGUAUACUUGAAAUGGAUGAAUUUUAUGGUAUGUAAAUUAUGCCUGUGGCAACCCGUGGCCUGAGCAAAACAGGCCUUCAGAUCUUUGGUGCACAGCAGUCUGCAAGACCUA